rnacentral:misc_RNA from 1 species
GUGGGUGUCAAGCCGAACAAGAGCAUCUGGAGCAGAGGGAUCCGGAGUGUCCCAAGGAGGGUCAGGGUUCGCAUUGCACGCAGAAGGAAUGAUGACGAAGAUGCAAAGGAACAGCUUUACUCCCUUGUCACUGUUGCAGAAAUCCCAACUGAAGGACUUAGAGGUCUGGGCACCAAGAUUAUUGAAGACGAGGAUUGAUCCUUCUAUUUGUGUGAAAAAACAAAUCAAAUAACAAGUUAAACUGUAUUUUAUUUUUGCAAAUGUCGAGUACUUCCAGACCAAUUAGUUUUUCAUUUUUCCAUGCAGAUAAUUUCAUUGCUGUUGUUAAGAUUUUCAAAUGCCAUUUACCAUAUUGUUGUAGCGGACACGUUUAUUAUCAGUGCUUGAUCUUAUCCUUUU